rnacentral:rRNA from 1 species
UACGGGGGGAGCAAGCGUUGUUCGGAUUUACUGGGCGUAAAGGGCGCGUAGGCGGCCAGCACAAGUCAGUUGUGAAAUCUCCGGGCUUAACUCGGAAAGGUCAACUGAUACUGUGCGGCUAGAGUGCAGAAGGGGCAACUGGAAUUCUCGGUGUAGCGGUGGAAUGCGCAGAUAUCAGGAGGAACACCGAUGGCGAAGGCAGCUCGCUGGGACGGUACUGACGCUGAGGCGCGAAAGCGUGGGGAGCGAACAGG